UCCGAUAUGGUCUAGUGGCUAGGAUUUGCCGCUCUCAUCGAGAGUGCUACACUCUGUAGUGCCGGCAAGGCCCGGGUAAGUUACACUCAUGAAUCUGAUGCAAAACUCAAUACUAACACAAGCCUUAGGUUCGAUUCCCGGUGUCGGAA